rnacentral:sRNA from 1 species
CCUCCUCGACCUGCUGCGGGCAGAUGUAGUGAACGUGCGCGUCGAUGGUGCCCGCGGUGACGAUGAGGUGUUCGCCAGCGAUGACUUCCGUCCCCGCGCCGAUUACCAGGGACGGGUGCACGCCUGCCAUCACGUCUGGAUUCCCUGCCUUGCCGAUCCCCACGAUGCGCCCGUCUUUGACGCCGAUGUCUGCCUUGUAGAUCCCAGACCAGUCGAUGAUGAGCGCGUUAGUGAUAACGAGAUCGAGCGUGUGUGCUGCAGCGCGCCCGGUGGCCUGCCCCAUUCCCUCGCGG